UAACUGAAGAGUUUGAUCAUGGCUCAGAUUGAACGCUGGCGGCAGGCUUAACACAUGCAAGUCGAGCGGGGGAAGGUAGCUUGCUACUGGA
rnacentral:rRNA from 1 species